rnacentral:misc_RNA from 1 species
GAUGAAGAACGUAGCGAAAUGCGAUAAGUAAUGUGAAUUGCAGAAUUCAGUGAAUCAUCGAAUCUUUGAACGCACCUUGCGCUCUUUGGUAUUCCGAAGAGCAUGCCUGUUUGAGUGUCAUGAAAAUAUCAACCUUGACUUGGGUUUUGUGCUCUAGUCUCGGCUUGGAAUUGGGUGCUUGCCGCUUUUACUAGCGGCUCACCUUAAAUGUAUUAGCUGGAUCUGUCUUUGAGACUUGGUUUGACUUGGCGUAAUAAGUAUUUCGCUAAGGACAUUCUUCGGAGUGGCCUCGUUUCUAGGACGCUUGUCCGCUUUCCAAUACAAGUUCCACCUCGUGGACAUGACUUUUUAUUAUCUGGCCUCAAAUCAGGUAGGACUACCCGCUGAACUUAAGCAUAUCAAUAAGCGGAGGA